GGGGGUAGUUCUUAGUACGUAAGCAGCAUGGAUGGCAAAUCGUGCAUGUUGCUACUAAGAACCAGCAGUAUCUUUUGAAGAUUUCCUACCUCC
rfam:Glossina austeni unplaced genomic scaffold Scaffold139, whole genome shotgun sequence.